UACAGGGGGUGCAAACGUUGCUCGGAAUCAUUGGGCGUAAAGCGCACGUAGGCGGUCUGUUAUGUCGGAUGUGAAAGCCCUUGGCUCAACUGGGGAGGGUCACGCGAUACUGAUCGACUCGAAGGCAGGAGAGGGUAGUGGAAUUCCCGGUGUAGUGGUGAAAUGCGUAGAUAUCGGGAGGAACACCAGUGGCGAAGGCGACUACCUGGCCUGUUUCUUGACGCUGAGGCGCGAAAGCUAGGGGAGCAAACGGG
rnacentral:rRNA from 1 species